UACGGAGGGUGCAAGCGUUAUCCGGAAUCACUGGGUUUAAAGGGUGCGUAGGCUGUUAGGUAAGUCAGUGGUGAAAGGUGUCCGCUCAACGGACGAAUUGCCAUUGAUACUGCUUAACUUGAAUUGGGAUGAGGUAACUGGAAUGUGACAUGUAGCGGUGAAAUGCAUAGAUAUGUCAUAGAAUACCGAUUGCGAAGGCAGGUUACUGGCCCUUGAUUGACGCUGAGGCACGAAAGCGUGGGUAGCGAACAGG
rnacentral:rRNA from 1 species